UGCAGUCGACGAGGUCCAUCUUGUAGCAWUACAAGUGAAGACCUAGUGGCGAMCGGKUGAGGAACACGUGAGAAAUUUGCCCCGAACUUUGGGAUAACAGUUGGAAACGACUGCUAAUACCGAAKGCCGUUACGAAGUGGCAUCACUUUGUAACGAAAGAAUUUCGGUUCGGGAGAAUCUCGCGGCCUAUCAGCUUGUUGGUGAGGUAACGGCUCACCARGGCUACGACGGGUAGCUGGUCUGAGAGGAUGAUCAGCCACACUGGGACUGAGACACGGCCCAGACUCCUACGGGAGGCAGCAGUGGGGAAUCUUGUGCAAUGGACGAAAGUCUGACACAGCCACGCCGCGUGCGGGAAGAAGGCCUUCGGGUCGUAAACUGCUUUUUUAAGGGACGAACGUUGACGGUACCUUAAGAAUAAGAGGUUGCUAACUCUGUGCCAGCAGCAGCGGUAAUACAGAGACCUCAAGCAUUAUCCGGAUUUAUUGGGCGUAAAGGGUCCGCAGGUGGCAUGGCAAGUUAUUGGUCAAAUCUUCGAGCUCAACUCGAAAACUGCCGAUAAUACUACCAAGCUAGAGACAGGGAGAGGUAAGCAGAAUUGCCGGUGUAGGGGUAAAAUCCGUUAAUAUCGGCAAGAAUACCAAAGGCGAAGGCAGCUUACUGGAACUGUUCUGACACUCAGGGACGAAAGCGUGGGGAGCGAAGCAGAUUAGAUACCUGCGUAGUCCA
rnacentral:rRNA from 1 species